AUGAAUUGAAAACACCGGUUCUUGUCCGAUCACCGAAGUUAAACAAUGUUGGACCCGGUCAGUACUUGGGAGGGUGACCACCUGGGAACACCUGGUGUAACUGUA